rnacentral:rRNA from 1 species
UACGUAGGGGGCAAGCGUUGUCCGGAUUUAUUGGGCGUAAAGAGCGUGUAGGCGGCUUUACAGGUCCGUUGUGAAAACUCGAGGCUCAACCUCGAGACGCCGGUGGAAACCGUAAAGCUAGAGUCCGGAAGAGGAGAGUGGAAUUCCUGGUGUAGCGGUGAAAUGCGCAGAUAUCAGGAGGAACACCGGUGGCGAAGGCGGGUCUCUGGGCCGAAACUGACGCUGAGGAGCGAAAGCGUGGGGAGCAAACAGG